UACGUAGGGGGCAAGCGUUGUCCGGAUUCAUUGGGCGUAAAGAGCGUGUAGGCGGCCAGGUAGGUCGGUUGUGAAAACUGGAGGAUCAACCUUCAGAGGUCGACCGAAACCAUCUGGCUAGAGUCCGGGAGAGGAGAGUGGAAUUCCUGGUGUAGCGGUGAAAUGCGCAGAUAUCAGGAAGAACACCCGUGGCGAAAGCGGCUCUCUGGAACGGUACUGACGCUGAGACGCGAAAGCGUGGGGAGCGAACAGG
rnacentral:rRNA from 1 species